rnacentral:lncRNA from 10 species
CACAUUCCUUCCUGUGCUGGCCCUGCAGAGGGAGGCACUCCCUGCUUCCACACUGGCCCACAAGCCCACACAUCUCAGCAUUCUCAGUUUUCUGAGUGUGGAGACUCCUCUGCUAAGGCACUGCCAAUCCAGUGAGUCAAGCCAGUGAAAGAACAGAGAUCUGUGCCCUCCUGCAGUGUUCAGACAAGGGUGAAGCGACCAUGCCGGGAGCCCAAGCUGAUAUCUAUACCGUCAAAAAUUGAGCAAGCUUGUAUUUACAGGAAAAGUUAUGCUCUCCUUUUUUAAACUCAGCACAGUAAUUUAAAGGAUCAGCAAACAAACAGCUGCAACUUCUCAUUAACAUGAAAGAACAGACUGGUGUGAUCCUAUGAUUCCUGAAGUGUGUUUUGGGUUCUGUAUUUUUCCAUGACUGAGAAAGCACUGAACUUUUUCGUGUAAAAUCUGUAUAGUCAGACUCUAUUACCCUGAUGGUUUAAAGCUCCCUGUAAAAAUCUGUGUUCCAAUGGGUAAAAUCUUCGAUAACAAACUUGUGUCAUGUGAUUGAAAAGAAUAUUUAGCAAAAUUUGCUGAGGAUGCAAUUUAAAGCUAGCUAACAUUUAAGAUUAUACAGUAUCAUCUUUAUAAAUUGCUAGUCAUGUGGUUGACUACUUCUGAAGAAUUUUAGAUUGCCAGGGUUUGUAAAAUGAAUUUAGAGGGACUAUGUAAAUGUGAUGAAAUUUGGAAGCUUGAUGCUAUUUCCAGAAGAGAAGUUUAAAAAGUUAAUUUUUAAAUCUACUGAAAGGCCUCAGAGUGAAGAGAGGAGAAGAAGAAAACCAAAAUUCUCAUGAAUGAGCCUACCUCAGGAAAAAACAAGAAAAUGCAACCUCUAGGCAUUUGUACAUUGAAAAUACAUAAAUCAUCUGAGGAGUAAUGAAACAACUGCAGCCCAGCAGAAACUUGAGGAGAUAAAAGCAUUGUUUUAAAAACAGAUGCAAAAUCUGUAUUGGACUGACAGUAGAAAGAAACAGACUGCUUGCUUUCAGCAAACCUGAGUUACAUGUGAAGGAGCCAUACUGCAAAGGCUACAGAAGGUUUGUUUUCUCAUGAAUGAGAACAGAAAUCAAUAUAUUCUACAAGAUUUUGGAGAUCACAUUCCGACUGGGAUUUUAAAAGCAGAUGGAAGAAAGGACAUCAUCCUAAAGAAGGAUCAAACUAGACCUUCAUAAGAGGCCCAGGAAAUCUUUGACUUUAAUAUUCUUAUCAUGGGUAACAUUCAUUUGGUUUUUAGUUGUUUUUAAACUCAGAAUUAGAGAAAAAACCUUAUUUUUAAUGAUCUAGAUAUUAUUUUCUGACUUAACGUCUUUAGUGGAAAAGAAAAUAUAAAGACAAAAAGGUAUAAAGGUAUAGAUAUUAUAGACAAAAGAUACAAGACAGAAAGGACAGAAGGGAAUACAUAUUGUAAAAUGAUAUAUAUGUUUGAAAUAUGUGGUUGACCCUUGAACAGCAUGGUCUUAAAUUGUGCAGGUCCACUUAAAGGUGGAUUUUCUUUCACCUCUGUCACCUCCUGAGACAACAAGACCAACUCUUUCUACACUUCAGCCUAUUCAAUAUAAAGAUGAUGAGAAUAAAGACCUUCAUGAUAAUCCACUUCCACUUAAUAAAUAGUAAAUAUAUUUUAUCUUCCUUACGGUUUUCUUAACAUUUUCUUUUCCCUGCCUUAUUUUACUGUGGGAAUACAACAUGUAACAUGUAUAACACAUAUAAUAUGUGUUAAUCAACUGUUUACAUGAUUGAUAAAAGCUUCCAGUCAUUUAUUUGUUAAGUGACUAUUAUUAGUUAAGCCCCUACAUUGUUCAAGCAUUCAAGUGUCAACUAUAUGUACAUAUGUGCAUGGUUUGACAGACCAAAAUAGUUGCCCCUUUAUCAACUGAGAUAGAUCUGAAGGUUAAAGAAACAAAAGUUACCCAUGGUUCAAGGGUUCAGUGCCUGGCUGACAUGGAAAAUUUCUAAAUUCCUAUAACUACAAGAAAAACCACACUCUUGUGAAACUCCAUAAGAAUAGGAGCUACCAGACAAAUUAUCAGACCUCUCCUAACUCUGUUUUAAAACCCAGGGCAUUAUAACUCUGAUUGGACAGAGGAUCAGCCUUUCAUUCUCAUUGUCUUUGUUGGCUUCAAGCUUCUUUUGAUUCUUUGUUCUGACUUAUUGCUCUUUAUUUAUCUGUAUCUUAGAUUCAAUCCAAACAGUGACAACUCCCUAAACACUUCUAUACUUACAGGUGUUCCAUAGAUUCUCCACACAAUCGACAUAACUAUUUCCUAGUCUUUGAUAAGACUGUAAUAUGAACAGAAUAUAAAUUAAUACUUAAAG